rnacentral:piRNA from 1 species
GCACGCAGUAUCAGUGAAUACUUACAGUGCCU